CUGAGAUGCAGGUGGAUUUGACUUUGUGCUCAUGUGGACCCGACCAGGCUGUUCAAUCUGAAGGCAGAAAGGACCAGAGCUUGGGUUGGGACUGAGCUGCUCCCAGGCUUGGGAGAGCAGCUGUUG